AUGCAAUUCUCUUCUCAUCCCUGCGCCUGCUCGGCACAUAAACUAACAAUCCUGCUACUUCUCCUUACAACAACUGCUGAAGCUGAGAGGCUAGGGGACUCGGGUCAGGGCGGGAUGAGUGCUGCUAUAUGGUUUGAACCCUCUAUCUGUAGAUCAUUCCUUUUACUGAUUUCUAGCUUUUCGGAGGCACAAGUAGUUGAUCACUUAGACGUACGAGAUUCUGAAAGGAUUGUUCUCUCUAGGCACAUCUUAGGAAGGAUUCCGUGUCCCUCCAACUCCAUCCAUUGGGCGGCGUCUUUUCAUCCGGAGAAGCUGUCGAAGCGAUAG
rnacentral:rRNA from 1 species